rnacentral:rRNA from 1 species
UUUUCCGUAGGGUGAACCUGCGGAAGGAUCAUU